GUUUUAAAAAAUUAUAACUUUGAAAGUUAUACUAUACUUUACAAGUAUUAAAACU
rnacentral:tRNA from 1 species